UUGCCCAAUGAUGCAUAAAAUUAUGUUAUAGAGCGGUUGUAUUUGGGUAAUCUCCGGCGUGUUGUUUUAACCUAAUAGCCUUGAACGCCGUCGUUUCGUCUCCGACGACAUUCACACGCGCACACUUCCACCCUUACCAUCUAUCCGUCUCACACGUGCGUCGGAUGCGAAACGGUGGUGUUCAGGGAUUUUUUAGGUUGCCGGAUUUUACCCAUUUACUCUAAGCCGUGAAUGAUCAAAUUUAUAGCUAUGAGAUCUGAGGGCUUUGUUUUUUAAU
rnacentral:sRNA from 1 species